UGUGCCUUUUGCAUUUUUUUCCUUCGGGGCACUUGAGGUCCUGUGCUAGCUAGUCUCCCCUGGUCCUAUCGGCCACUCUGUGUAACCGAGUCCUAUGUAACUGGGUCUCAUGCUCACAAAUGUUCAUUUGCUUAAGUGAGCUAGGAAGGGCCUGGGUCCUGAUGCUGGGUGCCCUAAGUGCUGCCAGAGCUGUGGCAGGCAACCCACAAGGUCGCUGCCCAGCCCAGGCUAGCAGGGAGGAAGAAAGGGUUUGUUUCUGAGGUUGUCCUGGCCUGCAGAGGCCCAGAUCUUAGGAAGAGGCAGCCGCUUUUCCCAGCUUUCAGGCCCCGCUGCAGGAGGCAGCAGCACCCAGUGCCCGACUGCCUUGCAGUUCAGCGGUUGGCCGUUGGGUAAACGUUGGGAGCGCCCCACCCCUUCUCCGCCCCGUCUCCAUGGAUACCCACACUCCCCCCCCCACCAGUCAAGGAGGCGGGCCCCCAGUGCGGACCCCGUUCACAAAGCCACUGUCUCCUCACCGACCUUCUCAAGGGAAGCGCGUGGGGAUGUUGGAAUGCUUGUUGCUGGACCAGCCAUGCUCUAGUGUUCUUUGCCUCCUGUUCGUUUGAUCUGAAGCUGCGUGGGGGGGACCUCGAAGUGAGUCUAUCCGCUCAGACAGCCCUGAAAGCCUGGAAGCAGAUCCUGGGCUUAGCACUCGGGCCAGCUGUCGAUGUGGGACUUUCCUGGGAACGGCUGCCCUACAAGUGCAGGUCUGGCAGGAAUGCCAGCCCCUCCAGUGACCCCAGUCUACACAGUGCUGCAACAGGGUCCUCUCCAGAACCACCGCACUGAAGGUUGCAGCCUGGGGGGCAGAGCUGUGGGGAAUGCCAUCACCUGUGCUUCAUGAGCAGCUAAGAUGGGCUUCAGUCACUUCCUGGACUAAUCCUUGUAAGGAGGAAUGGAGCUGCCCCUCAGCACGGUACCCAAGAAGGAAAGUUUCCUAAACAGUAUUAUUCUUGUUUUAUUCACAGCAGCUACAAAAACAUGCAAUAACUGGGAAUACAUACUGAAUACAGCAGGAGCUUUUUAUCUUAGUGCAUCAGUUCCCAACACUCAUCACCCGAAAAAGAAACCAUGUGCUUUAGCAGCCAUUCUCCCCACCACCACCACCACCAAUCUUGUUUUCUCAUCACCUUCCCCCUCCAUGAAUAUGAGUGGAAGCCAGGGCUUCAUAAAUGCUAAGCAGGCACUCUGCCAAUGAGCCCCAUUUCAUCCCAGACCUGUCUCAUUUCUCUUGUUAUACAAAGGGUCUUACUCUGUAGCUCAGCCUGGUCCUGGAUUUGUGGGCAAUCUUCCUGCUUCUACAAGGACGGCAAGUGUGCACACCAUAACGCUACGGACUUCUGAGAUACAGGGUCUUAAUAUGAUACAGGUUUCAUUCCAGCCUCUGCAUUAGACCCUUGGCCUACUCCACUGCUCCUAUGGCUGAAUGACAUCUGUAGUAGAUGAACCACCUUUUGUUUAGACACUCAUCAGUUGGUGAACAAUAAUGUACAUACACUCCUGUCAGUACUAAUAUGUACUUUUAACACAAAAAGCAGAUUAUGAAUGACAGUCUUGGACAGAAUGGGUGUCAACCCAAAGUUUGGAUGUUGAAGCUCUAACUCCCUAGUGUGCCUAUGCCUAGAACAGUCAGAUUAGAUAGGGUUAGGGUUAUCUCUGACAUCUGAUCUCACAGGACUUCCAAUUUUCCUUUUCAGACAGGGUCUCAUAUGUAUCCCAGGCUGACCUUGAACUUGCUAAGUAGUGGAUUUCGAAUUACUAUUCUCCUGCUUCUACCUGGUGCUGGGACAAGGAAUGUAAUACCAUGCCGGGUUACUGAAGAUGGAUCCCAGGGUCUCAUGAAUGCCAGGAGAGCACUCUACCAACUGAGCUCCAGCUCCAGAAAUUACACUAUGUAUGUUGUCGCUGAGACACCCCAGGAGGCUUAUCAAAUUUGCUCUCUGUGUGAAAAGCAAGAAGACAGUCAUCUGCAUGACAGGAAAGUCCCCUAUCCUAAAACCAGUGUGUCAGCCUUGGCCCCAGACUCUAAUAAAAUAUAUGUAUAAGCUA